rnacentral:rRNA from 1 species
UACGAAGGGUGCAAGCGUUACUCGGAAUUACUGGGCGUAAAGCGUGCGUAGGUGGUUAGUUAAGUCUGUCGUGAAAGCCCCGGGCUCAACCUGGGAAUGGCGAUGGAUACUGGCUCGCUAGAGUGCGGUAGAGGAGAGGGGAAUUCCCGGUGUAGCAGUGAAAUGCGUAGAGAUCGGGAGGAACACCAACGGCGAAAGCACUCUGCUGGGCCGACACUGACACUGAGAGACGAAAGCUAGGGGAGCGAAUGGG